UAGGGAAUAUUAGUAAUGGGCGAAAGCCUGAACUAGCAACGCCGCGUGUGCGAGGAAGGCCUUCGGGUUGUAAAGCACUUUUAGAGAGGAUGAGGAGGGACGGUACUCUCAGAAUAAGUCUCGGCUAACUACGUGCCAGCAGCCGCGGUAACACGUAGGAGGCGAACGUUAUCCGGAUUUACUGGGCGUAAAGCGCGUGUAGGUGGUUUGGUAAGUAGGGCGUGAAAGCUCCCGGCUCAACUGGGAGAGGCCGUUCUAAACUGCCAAGCUAGAGGAUGGUAGAGGGAGGUGGAAUUCCGGGUGUAGCGGUGGAAUGCGCAGAUAUCCGGAGGAACACCAGCGGCGAAGGCGGCCUCCUGGGCCACUCCUGACACUCAGACGCGAAAGCUAGGGUAGCAAACGG
rnacentral:rRNA from 1 species